AGUGGGGGAUAACGUAGCGAAAGUUACGCUAAUACCGCAUAUGCCCUGAGGGGGAAAGGAGGGGAUCGUAAGACCUUUCGCUUUCGGAGUGGCCGAUAUCGGAUUAGCUAGUUGGUGAGGUGAAGGCUCACCAAGGCGACGAUCCGUAGCGGGUCUGAGAGGAUGAUCCGCCACACUGGGACUGAGACACGGCCCAGACUCCUACGGGAGGCAGCAGUGGGGAAUUUUGGACAAUGGGGGCAACCCUGAUCCAGCCAUGCCGCGUGAGUGAAGAAGGCCUUCGGGUUGUAAAGCUCUUUCGGACAGAAAGAAAUCCUAUCCGCUAAUACCGGGUGGGGAUGACGGUACUGUAAGAAGAAGCACCGGCUAACUACGUGCCAGCAGCCGCGGUAAUACGUAGGGUGCGAGCGUUAAUCGGAAUUACUGGGCGUAAAGCGUGCGCAGGCGGCUUUUUAAGCCAGAUGUGAAAUCCCCGGGCUUAACCUGGGAACUGCAUUUGGAACUGGAAGGCUAGAGUGUAGCAGAGGGGGGUAGAAUUCCA
rnacentral:rRNA from 1 species